rnacentral:rRNA from 1 species
AGAGUUUGAUAUGGCUCAGAACGAACGCUGGCGGCAGGCUUAACACAUGCAAGUCGAACGAGAAGCCGGACUUCGGUCUGGUGGAGAGUGGCGCACGGGUGAGUAACGCGUGGGGAUUUACCCAGCAGUACGGGAUAACAUCGGGAAACCGGUGCUAAUACCGCAUACGCCCUUCGGGGGAAAGAUUUAUCGCUGUUGGAUGAACCCGCGUAAGAUUAGAUAGUUGGUGGGGUAAUGGCCUACCAAGUCGACGAUCUUUAGCUGGUCUGAGAGGAUGAUCAGCCACACUGGAACUGAGACACGGUCCAGACUCCUACGGGAGGCAGCAGUGGGGAAUAUUGGACAAUGGGCGCAAGCCUGAUCCAGCCAUGCCGCGUGAGUGAUGAAGGCCUUAGGGUUGUAAAGCUCUUUCAUCGGUGAAGAUAAUGACGGUAACCGAAGAAGAAGCCCCGGCUAACUCCGUGCCAGCAGCCGCGGUAAUACGGAGGGGGCUAGCGUUGUUCGGAAUUACUGGGCGUAAAGCGCGCGUAGGCGGUUUUACAAGUUGGAUGUGAAAGCCCGGGGCUCAA